GGAAAGGAUGAUGUCGGGGAAUUUUCGGACAAUGGNCGAAAGCCUGAUCCAGCAAAUGCCGCGUGCAGGAUGAAAGGCCCUCGGGUUGUNAACUGCUUUUGUACGGAACGAAAAGCCUGGGGCUAAUAUCCCCGGGUCAUGACGGUACCGUAAAGAAUAAGCACCGGCUAACUACNUGCCAGCAGCCGCGGUAAUACGUAGGGUGCAAGCGUUAAUCGGAAUUACUGGGCGUAAAGCGUGCGCAGGCGGUUUUGUAAGACAGUGGUGAAAUCCCCGGGCUCAACCUGGGAACUGCCNUUGUGACUGCAAGGCUAGAGUGCGGCANAGGGGGNUGGAAUUCCGCGUGUAACAGUGAAAUGCGUANAUAUGCGGAGGAACACCGAUGGCGAAGGCNAUCCCCUGGGCCUGCACUGACGCUCAUGCACGAAAGCGUGGGGAGCAAACNGGAUUAUAUACCCUGGUANUCCACGCCCUAAACAAAUGUCAACUGGUUGUUGGGUCUUAAACUGACUCCAGUUACCGAANGCUAACNCCGUGNAANUUUGACCGCCUGGNGGAAUUNCGGCCCCCAANGUANAAACUCAAAUGAAUUGACGGGG
rnacentral:rRNA from 1 species